rnacentral:rRNA from 1 species
AGUGAACGCUGGCGGUAGGCCUAACACAUGCAAGUCGAACGGCAGCACAGUAAGAGCUUGCUCUUACGGGUGGCGAGUGGCGGACGGGAGAGGAAUACAUCGGAAUCUACUUUUUCGUGGGGGAUAACGUAGGGAAACUUACGCUAAUACCGCAUACGACCUACGGGUGAAAGCAGGGGAUCUUCGGACCUUGCGCGAUUGAAUGCGCCGAUGUCGGAUUAGCUAGUUGGCGGGGUAAAGGCCCACCAAGGCGACGAUCCGUAGCUGGUCUGAGAGGAUGGUCGGCCACACUGGAACGGAGACACGGUCCAGACUCCUACGGGAGGCAGCAGUGGGGAAUAUUGGACAAUGGGCGCAAGCCUGAUCCAGCCAUACCGCGUGGGUGAAGAAGGCCUUCGGGUUGUAAAGCCCUUUUGUUGGGAAAGAAAAGCAGCAGGUUAAUACCCCGCUGUUCUGACGGUACCCAAAGAAUAAGCACCGGCUAACUUCGUG